rnacentral:snRNA from 1 species
AUGCUCCCUUCAGCAGCACGUAAACUAAAAUUGGUAUGAUGCAAAGAAGUUUAGCAUUGUCCCUGGCAAGGAUGACAUGCAAAUUUGUGAGGCAUUCCACAUUUAA